rnacentral:rRNA from 1 species
AACGAACGCUGGCGGCGUGGAUAAGACAUGCAAGUCGAGCGCUGGCUGUCGGGUAGCAAUAUUCGGCAGUUGGAGCGGCGCAAGGGUGCGUAACACGUGGGUAAUCUGCCGUGAAGUUUGGGAUAACUUGCUGAAAGGCGAGCUAAUACCGGAUGUGACCGUUGGGAGGCCUCUCCUGGUGGUUAAAGUUGGGGACCGCAAGGCCUGACGCUUCAUGAUGAGCCCGCGGCAUAUCAGCUAGUUGGUGAGGUAACGGCUCACCAAGGCUAAGACGGGUAGCUGGUCUGAGAGGACGACCAGCCACACUGGAACUGAGACACGGUCCAGACACCUACGGGUGCUG